GCCUGGGUGGCUCAGUCAGUCAAGCGUCCGACUUAGGCUCAGGUCAUGAUCCUGCUGCUCAUGGGUUCGAGCCCCAUUUUAGGCU
rnacentral:tRNA from 1 species